UACGUAGGGGGCUAGCGUUGUCCGGAAUCAUUGGGCGUAAAGCGCACGUAGGCGGAUUUGUAAGUCAGGGGUGAAAUCCCGGGGCUCAACCUCGGAACUGCCUUUGAUACUGCAAAUCUCGAGUCCGGAAGAGGUGAGUGGAAUUCCUAGUGUAGAGGUGAAAUUCGUAGAUAUUAGGAAGAACACCAGUGGCGAAGGCGGCUCACUGGUCCGGUACUGACGCUGAGGUGCGAAAGCGUGGGGAGCAAACAGG
rnacentral:rRNA from 1 species